CCAAAGCCAACGAUUCCUCUCCCCACUAGAGAAUUCAGCCCCAGUCACUUUCUGAUCAUCAGUGGCUGGAGGGAGUCAGUCCUGAUCUGCCGGGAGCCUUCUUGAGGGCUGCCCUCCUGGUGACCCUUCCUAGAUCACAGAGACUGUCCCCCUGCCCAGGGCUGCCUCAAAGAAGGAACAGCAAGACUGUGGCCAAGAAUACAGGAGGUUUGAUCCACAGCCAAAUAAUGUGAUUCUGGGACAUAGAUUGGGAUUACUGAAGAUAAAGUGGCCUGGCUAUGAGGCAUACUGUAAGAACACAUGUGCUUAUUAGAUUGCAUCCCAUCUCUGCAGCGCCUACCCUCCUGCCAAGACUGAAGGCUACUAAUCUCCCUUAUCCAAAGGACCCCCAGGUGCGUGGAGAAUCUCAGAGCUUCUUUAAGUAUAGGUUGCAUCAAAAUCAUCUGGAGUGCUUCUUAAAGGUCAACUCUACCCCACCCCCACAUGCCUGAUGAAUCAGAAUCAUUGUGUGUAGGACCCCAGGAAUCUGUAUUUUAACAUGAUGCUCAUGAAAUCAUUUUAGACACUAAAUACUAGGAAUCAUUUAUCCUAAAAUUUCUUCAUGGAAAAAAUGUAUCCAUAGGUUUUAAAGAAACUUUUAGAGUACUAAUAACAGUGGAAUUCCCUGAAUUAAACCUUCAUGCCAAUGAUGUAUUAAGAACUAUGUAAUGUUUUGAACGACCAACAAUAAAAAAAAAAAA